rnacentral:rRNA from 1 species
UUGGAUUAGGAUACUUAUUUAAUGAAGAAGUUAAAUUAAGGAGUUUGUUCAACUUUUAAAUUCCUACAUGAUCUGAGUUCAGACCGGCGUGAGCCAGGUUGGUUUCUAUCUUUAUUAAUAAUUUUUUUUUUUAAUUAGUACGAAAGGAAUUUUAAAAAGUAAGUAUUUAUUAAAAUAGAAGGGAUUACAUUAUUUGUU